rnacentral:rRNA from 1 species
UCUCCGUUGGUGAACCAGCGGAGGGAUCAUUACCGAGUCCAUCUCGAAACCCUCUGUGAACAGAAUCAAGUUGCUUCGGCGGGCUGCCCCCCCAGGGGCCCAGCCCGGCCCGCCGCAGGCCUCUCAACUCUGCCGCUGCAGUCGUCUGAGUGUACUACAAAAAGUCAAAACUUUCAACAAUGGAUCUCUUGGUUCUGGCGUCGAUGAAGAACGCAGCGAAAUGCGAUAAGUAAUGUGAAUUGCAGAAUUCAGUGAAUCAUCGAAUCUUUGAACGCACAUUGCGCCCGCUGGUAAUCCGGCGGGCAUGCCUGUUCGAGCGUCAUUUCACCACCCGAGCCCGGCUCGGUGUUGGGCACGGCGGCCCCCCAGCCGCCCGCCCCAAGCCCAUCGACCGGCGGCCCGGCCGCGCCUCGUGAAGCAGAAUGCCCUGCGAGCGCGCUGGACGAGCCACGCCGGCGGAAGCACACUCCUAUGGUUGACCUCGGAUCAGGUAGGAAUACCCGCUGAACUUAAGCAUAUCAAUAAGCGGAGGAAAAGAAACCAACAGGGAUUGCCCCAGUAACGGCGAGUGAAGCGGCAACAGCUCAGAUUUGAAAUCCGGCGCUCGCGCCCGAGUUGUAAUCUGCAGAGGAGGCCUCUGGCGACGCGCCGCCCGAGUUCCCUGGAACGGGACGCCUUAGAGGGUGAGAGCCCCGUAAGGGACGGCGACCAGCCUGUGUGAGGCCCCAUCGACGAGUCGAGUAGUUUGGGAAUGCUGCUCUAAAUGGGAGGUAAAUUUCUUCUAAAGCUAAAUAUCAGCCAGAGACCGAUAGCGCACAAGUAGAGUGAUCGAAAGAUGAAAAGCACUUUGGAAAGAGGGUGAAAAAGUACGUGAAAUUGUUGAAAGGGAAGCGCUUGUGACCAGACUCGCGCCCGGCGGAUCACCCAGCCUCGGCUGGUGCACUCCGCCGGGCCCGGGCCAGCACCGGUCUCGCGCGGGGGAGAAAGGCGGCGGGAACGUGGCCCCUCGGGGUGUUAUAGCCCGCCGCGUAAUGCCCUGCGUCGGGACCGAGGCCCGCGCUCUGCAAGGGUGCUGGCGUAAUGGUCAUCAGCGGC